rnacentral:RNase_P_RNA from 1 species
AGGAAAGUCUAGUUCCUUACAAAUAAACGUAUAGUGUUGUGAAUGUGAUAACGUUAGCGCUUAGGUAAGUGAGUGGGAUCAGUAGAUCUUAUUUCUCUCGCAACGAGAACGAAAGCGUUUGCUCCUCCGGAGUGUGCUUGAGGGACAAGGCUUGAUAUGUUGAAUGUCGCUUGGUUUUGUCUAGAAAAAUUGCCGCGGGGUGCUACUUCACUCAACUAAACUUAGCUUACCGCU